UACGGGGGGGGCAAGCGUUGUUCGGAAUUACUGGGCGUAAAGGGCUCGUAGGCGGCCAACUAAGUCAGACGUGAAAUCCCUCGGCUUAACCGGGGAACUGCGUCUGAUACUGGUUGGCUUGAAUCCGGGAGAGGGAUGUGGAAUUCCAGGUGUAGCGGUGAAAUGCGUAGAUAUCUGGAGGAACACCGGUGGCGAAGGCGGGUCUCUGGGCAUCUCCUGACGCUGAGGCGCGAAAGCGUGGGGAGCAAACGGG
rnacentral:rRNA from 1 species